rnacentral:miRNA from 1 species
GCGUCACUAUCAUUAUCCUCAC